ACCUGGUUGGCUCAGUCGGUUGAGCGUCUGACUUCAGCUCGGGUCAUGAUCUCAGGGUUUGUGAGUUCGAGCCCCACGUCAGGCU
rnacentral:tRNA from 1 species